UUUUGGUGUUCCACGUGCCGAGCGAUCCGGGGAGAAGGUGACUCAGGGCAUCUCGGCGCUGCUCUCCAUGACUGUCUUCCUCAUGACCAUCAGAGUCCCUGCCGCCAGCUGAGGAGACACCGCUCGUCACCAGCCGCCGAGUUGCUGUUUACGGAAUGAAGGUUUUCACCAAACGUCCCGCCUGAUGGUUUUAUUCCCUCGUAAAGGAGAUCAUCGCUCGCUGUGCCGCUUAAUGCAUCACCAAGCCUGUCUCGCUCAAGGAAUCUCCGUCAGCAGGUAGCGGCGCCUGUGGUGGGGACGCGGGGUAGAGGGAACGGCUUCAACUUUGUCCCAGCCUUUGUCGUAAUUGGUUGGGUGAGUAAUAGCAUUAUUGCCCGCUAACUGGGCCGCUGUAUGACUUCAUGAGAUAAUAUGGAUCCGUCACCACCACCACCACCACCACCGCUGUAUGACUUCACUGGUUGGUUCACGAGGUAAUAUGGAUCCGUCACCGCCACCACCACCACCACCACCACCGCUGUAUGACUUCACUGGUUGGUUCACGAGAUAAUAUGGAUUCGUCACCGCCACCACGACCACCACCACCACCACCACCACCACCGCUGUAUGACUUCACUGGUUGGUUCACGAGAUAACAUGGAUCCGUCACCGCCACCACGACCACCACCACCACCAUCACCACCACCGCUGUAUGACUUCACUGGUUGGUUCACGAGAUAACAUGGAUCCGUCACCGCCACCACCACCACCACCACCACCACCACCGCUGUAUAACUUCACUGAUUGGUUCACGAGAUAACAUGGAUCCGUCACCGCCACCACCACCACCACCACCACCACCACCACCACCGCUGUAUGACUUCACUGAUUGGUUCACGAGAUAACAUGGAUCCGUCACCGCCACCACCACCACCACCACCACCACCAUCAAUAGCGCUAGCAUCGCCACUAGUGAUAUGCUUGUUUAGCACAGUUUUCUUCUGAUUAAUACGUAGACGGGGUGUUUAUUAACUAAAUAUUAACUAAAUGGAUCUCGUUUGACAUUUCAUAGUUAAUUUUAUAGUCCCUAACGUGGAAUAAAUACACAGAUGCAUUUCAACAGAGAUUAUUUGAAUUCAUACUCUACAUUACAUGAAAGGAACCGUGCAGCUACAACGUAAGAGAUCUGGAGCCAUGACCCUUGAGUCCGUGACGUGAAAUGAAUUCCUAGAUGGAACUCAGCAAUUAAGAGCCUUUGAUUUCAUGCUUUGUAACGUUCAAUAUCACCCACGUGCUUGCCGGGACGGACACGCGCAGCUACAGAGUGAGGUGCUUAGCCAAUAAUGAACCUUUAGCUCCAAAUUUGUAUUUUGUUGUGUGAGAUGUGAUUUCGUGUUCGCUAAAGCUUAAUAUCAUCCACGUUCUCACGAUUUCCUUUUACUCUUACUUUUUUUUUCUUUUUUCAUGUAGUUGCUGCUCUGGCCAAGGACAACGGAAACUGUUAAAAAAAAAAUACUAAAAAUGUCAAAUCCUAAAAGUGUCAGUCACGUAACAAGUCGCAGAGUUAAACAUUGAGACAAACAGCGAAUAAAAAACCUUCCAAUCCCUCACGUGAAGCUGAUACGUAGACAGAUUCCACUAAUUAAGGUACCUGACCUCAUACUCUCCAACACUCAGCAUCAUCAAGUGUUUACGAGGAAGGAAAGAUGCAGGUGUCGUCUCCAGUGAAGAAAACGUUCCAUUGCAAUUUCUCUCCCUGCUGUUUCCCUUUGCUGUAUCUCUGAGUGGAUAAUCGCCGUCCAGUGUCAGCGUUCUUUCGUGACGUCCAUGUAACGUUAACUAUGACCUAAGAGUAAUCAACCAUCCAACCAGUAGUUCCGUUUUUUUGCCUCACACACACACACACACACACACACACACACACACACACACACACACACACACACACACACACACACACACACACACACACACACACACACACACAUAUACAACAACAACAACAACAACAACAACAACAAGGCACGGCGCCUCAAACAUUUAUUCUCAGGUGUGUAUCAGAAACGCUUUGCUUUCACACCACGACUAUUUUCAAGGUCAUAGAGAUGAUGACCCGGGUUUUCAAGCUUGUUUCUUCUCUUAGUAAUGUAAAAGUGUUCUUAAUCUGUCAGUAUAACCUUAAAAACCCUUGAAACUCGUGUCACUUCAUUGCGACCAUUGUAAACAAUAAUGGUGAGAGAGCAAAGUUGCCAGGCUGUUGGGAGACAACGGGAAACCAACAACACGAACAAAACAAUUUUUUUUUUACCCAAUUCUUGUUUACAUCCAAAACUUAUGUGGUAUGUGUUUUGAAAAGCAAGCGCAAUUAAAAGGCGCGAAAAUUGAGGAUUUGAGUGUGCGGGGGGUAGGAGGGAAGGGAGAAAGGUGACGUGCCUUGCAGUACUGAGACACACACACACACACACACACACACACACACACACACAAAUAGGGCAGUUAGAUAUUUACACACACACACACACACACACACACACACACACACACACACACACACACACACACACACGGCAAUUAUACACUUAAACGCGCGUGCACACACACACACAGAAACAGGACAGUUACACACACACACACACACACACACACACCACGUUAUCCUUGCCGCCCAGCCCUGCCGAGUCCUGCCGAGCCCAGCCCAGCCCUGUCUCUGCUAUGGUAACAGUCUCUCCCCGUCAAUAUUUAGCGUAAAUUUCAGGAUUUCCAGCAGUUUCCAGGUGUUUUCUAGACUCGGGAUAUAUAAUACUAGGAAAGGGAAGAAAGGUGAAGGGUAGAGGAAGAGUAUGCAGGGUAGAAAAGGGAAGAGGUACUGAGGAAA